ACUCGUCACUAGGGGCGCUUUUAUAAGCUGAGAUGUACCCUUGACCUGAUCUAUAUAAUGAUAGCGUAGGAAAGUGUCUUAUUUUUAAG
rnacentral:ncRNA from 2 species